GGGGGGGUGGAAGAGACUGUUUCCCCUUCCUCCGGUUCACACAUAGCAAGAGUGGGCAGGGUGGGGGUAGUUUCAGCCUCAGAGCAACACUUCACAUGAGGGGGGCGGCAGUGGAAUGGGAGAAGGCCGAAGAGUAUAACGUAAUGGGUCUCCAACACCUGUGGAACAUUACGCCAAGCAGAGUGUGGAGGAGCGGAGAGCGUGAGUGAGGAGGAAAGACUGGUCUGUGACUGACUGAGUGUGUGUUUCACUGUGUGUCUGACUGACUGACUGACUGACUGACUGACUGACCGGGGUCCUGGGUUGUGGCCGUGCCUUGUGCUCUGGGCUGGAUAUCAUCAUAUAUUGUAAGUUCACAAUUCAGACACUACAGUAUAGAUGAUGUACUACACAGGGCUACACAUCUCCAGCCGCACACAACGCAGCCCUGGGCUCCAGCGCUCAACCGUUAUCUGUGAUCGACAUUUAUCCAGGCUCUUGGUAGAUAAGCAGACAGUGUGGUUAAACGGACAUCACUCAGAAUGCACAUUGGCAUCAACUAAAACAUUGUUCCAUUGGGGAUACUUGUUGCUAUAUUGCCACACUUGACAGCUCCUGCUCUCUCCCUAUUUCUCUCUCGUUUUCUACUUCUAGAAUGUCUCUCACCCGCAGUGUAAAAUAUAAAACCCUUUUUGCUGAGCUGACAGUGUGCUGGCGAGGUGUGCUUAGUGUGCAUCGGAGCCUUUGCCGAUAUAUGGUCAUGUGGACAAAUUGCAAUUAGAAGACUGAGACUGGGGUGUAAUCAGGAACUGCUGCCUUCUGUUUAAAACCAUAAACUUCUGCAGAUAUUCUACAGAAAUCUUCCUUCACCAGGACCGACCUCUGCUCAAAAGAGAAGCUCACGAAGGGAAGUGGCGCACACACACACACACACACAAACAGCAACUGCUCUUUGUGCAGAACAUUCUGAGGAGGUUCUGAAAGCUUGACCGGGUUGUGUUAACCGUCCCAUCUCUCCGUCUGCUCUCUCUCUGCGUCUCCGCACUUGGAAUACCAGACCCAGCCGCCUCUGGGGGUGUCGAUCAAACCGUUACCAUUACUUGUAUAAGUACUGGUAAGGGUUACAUUGCUGCCUCCGAUCUCAUCACCACAAGCCGGGGAGCAAGAGAGAGAGGGAAGCGCUUUGGGUGGAAAUCCAGACCGUCAAGACUCUGGGGGGUGUCAAUCAAACCGUUACCAUUACUUGUAUUAAGUACUGGUAAGGGUUAUAUUGCUGCCUCCGAUCUCGUCACCACAAACCGGGAAGCGAGCGAGGAGACGCAAACGAGCAAGGGAGACCGGGAGGGCUUCAAGAUGAUUGUGGUUUGUACACACAGUCACGUAGACGGUCUCAUACACGGCCAAUCCCACCUCAGAGACUUCCUUAUCCUUAUUCACCUGACUGCGAGGUGAAAUUUCAAUGCUCUGCUCACCUCCUAAAGAACCCCACACACUGCGCAUUCCUGUGGCACACAAGAGCGUACACUCCCUACUCCUACCCACACACACACACACGUACUGUGACACAUCAACACACAUAACCCUGGACGCAUGUGUACUCACAACACAGCAAUGAUGAAACCUCUUCACUGACUGCGAGAUUGUGUCAUUCUUAUUAUUAAUAAAAGUGGCCUCAGUCACACCGAGUAUA